CCUACGGGAGGCAGCAGUGAGGAAUAUUGGUCAAUGGACGAGAGUCUGAACCAGCCAAGUAGCGUGAAGGAUGACUGCCCUAUGGGUUGUAAACUUCUUUUAUAAAGGAAUAAAACGAGGCACGUGUGCCUUUUUGCAUGUACUUUAUGAAUAAGGAUCGGCUAACUCCGUGCCAGCAGCCGCGGUAAUACGGAGGAUCCGAGCGUUAUCCGGAUUUAUUGGGGUUAAAGGGAGCGUAGAUGGGUUGUUAAGUCAGUUGUGAAAGUUUGCGGCUCAACCGUAAAAUUGCAAUUGAUACUGGCAGUCUAGAGUACAGUUGAGGUAGGCGGAAUUCGUGGUGUAGCGGUGAAAUGCUUAGAUAUCACGAAGAACCCCGAUUGCGAAGGCAGCUUACUAAACUGUGACUGACAUUGAUGCGCGAAAGUGUGGGUAUCAAACAGGAUUAGAUACCCUUGUAGUC
rnacentral:rRNA from 1 species